CAAGAACAGGCUGUUUGUUAGACCUUGGAAGCACUUGGAAAGCAUGCAUACACACGUGUGGAUUUCCAUUCCUUCAUCUCCCCAUGUGUGAGGAGGGACCACAGUGAUGCACUCUGUGUGUGUGCAUGUCCAAGGCAGCAAUGGAUAUCAGAAAGUGGUCAAAACUAAAGUGCUCCAAAACAAUGUCCAAAGAGCCACAGUAAUGUAAACUGUUGUUUUAGGAAAAGCUGCGUAGGCUCUUCUGUUUUUUAGGUACUGCACAGACUGCAACUAUUGCAGGACAAGUAUCGUGGAAAAAGGAAAACGUCCCUGAUCAAUAAGAUGAGAUGAGACAAAAUCACUGCAAGACUCCGACAAACCGUGGCUCUCAGUUCUCAGUUCCACAGCAAGGUUCCCUCCCUCCCGUUUUCUUUCCCCUCGUCUCUUGCCCGCUGUCAUAAGGGAUGUGUUUUGGACACCACCUCGGCACUGCUGUGAUGCCCACGCUGUGCUACGUCUGCUGGGCUCUGACCUGCAAGCAGCUCCCAGAGCCACACGUGGCUCAUAGCCUGCCUUCAGCUGAGAGCAGGCACCGGCAACUUUACACUUAUUAAAAUAGCAAUUGUGCAUCCUUUUUGAAAAAGAAAAUGCCUUACAGCAUGUUUUACACAGGGCGCAGAGCAGAUCUGCUCUGUGAGCACAAGCAGAGCUCCAAACGGAGGAAAUGAAUGCUUUGUUGAUGACAGAUCUCUGUUUUUAUUCCCAAGGUUCAGAAGUAAAUUACCACAAAAAUGCAGACAGAACCUGUAAUAUUUGCCUCCGCAUUAUUCAUCCAGCAGUUCGGGAGCCGCAGAUCAGCAUGUGAAAGACAGCAGUUAAAAUACAAGGCCCAUUCCCAUCUCUUCUGCACUGGUGUAAAUCAAGACUAACAUUCAGUGAAACCAAUGGAGUGUAAAAUUGGUUAUUUUAAAAAUACACUGCAGAGAAAUUCUGAUGAGCCCGCUUGCAGACUGAUCUGGUACCUGAGCUUUUACAGAGAGUGGGAAGUCUGUCUCUGCUUAUCAGACCCUGUGCCCAUCCAGGUGGAUGUGUGUCUCCGCUGAGAGGUUCCUUGAGGAACAUGGAGCGCUGGAGCAGAGCUGCUCUGCCCACCUGGGAGCUACUGGCAGGAAUGCAAAAGGAGCAGACUUCCUAGGACAUUUUUUUUUGCAUGCACCCAAAAGCAGAAUCCUCAGCACGGGAUGCAGAGGGGAGGAGCAGACAGAAAUCGUCUGUCUGCGCUGAUGAAUCAAAGGCCAGUGAGCACCAGGGACAAGUAGAGCAUGAGAUUUUGGGACCGGAGGUUCUUGAGUAUGGCUCCUGAGACACUCUGGACUGUGCAGCAGAGAAGGCAGAAAUCAAAUUGACAUUGACAAAGCUUUUAAAAUUUACCUACCCACUCACCGGGUAGUUAGACAGGCCAGAUGUCGCUAUUUCUACCACUUUCUACAAAAAGGGCCACAUUUGCUGCCCACCUUUCUCCUCUUCCUCCAGCCCACUGGUGCCAACCUGCCCUGGGGGCUACCCUGCGACCCCCAUCUCCAGCCGUACUGACUGAGCACGGGAGAACAUUCUGCAGCAUCCCUAAAAGCUGUGACCUCUCUUUGCAACCUGUUGUUUUCGCCCCUCAAUUUGAAAAGAGCAAAAAUAACUUUCAUAAUCUCCCAAGCUCAAAGAAGAACUUUCAAAGGUGAAAUGUGGGAGAGGACAGGGCCAGACAAGGAUUAUCAUGGGUACAUUUGGUUUUAAAAAGAGGCUAUAUUCAAAGUAAAAAGCAUGUAUGUACCCAUAUAUAUAAGUAUAUUAUUAUUGCCUUAAUAACUGUAUACAUAUCGAUAAACUCUUGAGUAAUUGCAAAGGUGAAUUUUUAAAAAACUAUGUUGUUAACACAGCCCCUCCAAACAAGGUAUUUUGGCUUGAAAAUGGUUUUCAUUCACUUUUUCCCAGCGACAAAGAGCCUCUUAAGUGGAGAUGACUCUGAUAGCACUGGCAAUAUUAACACAUGCUGUGGAUACAGGCCCUUUAACACUUCUAGGAAUUAAUUAUUUACUUUUUACUGAGAACGGAGAAAGAGAGGAAUGGAUCACCUGCUUUUAUGGGGAAGAAGAGCAAAGUCCAAGAUUUCUUGAAAGAUGGAGAGGGAAAACAGGUCUGGUGUAUUUUCUGUUUCUGUUUGAGGUCUGAAAGAUAUUUUGCAUUAGAUUAUCAACUUGCUUUGCAUUUUAAUCUACAAAACUGCAAUCAGCACAUGUCAAGUGCUACCAGAAAGCAGCUUCUGUGCUGUCACAUUUCUGGCCAUAUAUUACCGGAAAGACUGGAUGUAAUGUGGGCAAACAAAGAGUACAGAAUAAUGACACAGAAUGUAGCCCAGAGCCCUUAUAAGACAAAAUAAAAGGUGUACCAGCUAAACUAAGUGUUUAUAAGGAGACCAGGCUUCCUCGUUUUGUAAGUGCUUGGGUGGCUUUAAUGGAGAAGGAGUCUAAUGAUUUUUGACACGUGUUAAUGGUGUGUGUCACGUUCUUUAUAUUUUCAUAAUGACAACUCUAAUUUCUGAUGGCAUGUGUCACAUUGCAUAUAUUUGUUAAAUAUAGGUCAUGAGCUAAAAAUAGGCACAAUAUUAGCAAAAUAUGUAUGGUAACAAUUGCAUAUACCUCACUGCA